AUACAUUACUCUUAUGAAACAACAACCAACUUUUAAGAAAAUAUGGGAUUUUCUUGGUGUGUGUUACAUUUUCAGAAACAGAAAGGAAACAUAAACAUUUUCACAAAACAAAACUGCUUAUGAACUCACCAGCGUUAUGCUGAUUUUCAAAUUGCUUGUGUUCUCAGGUCAACGAUAGUACAGGUACCCGAAGACUUUCUUGGUUAAGGAUCGUGUGCGUGCAAGGCUCAUUCAUUUUGUUUAUAUCUAUAUUAUGUAUCACAACUGUAUAAACUGUGUCUUUUGAAACAAAUUGUAAAACUUUUAAUAUGUAAUGUAAUGUUUGUUUCACUUUACUUACUAUGUACAUUGGAUUUGAUACUCAACGUGGAGUCAACCCCGGAAAUGUUUCCGCCUUCGGUUUUCGGGGUGUGACAGAUUGGUAUCAGAGCCCUUGUUUAUAGUGAAUAAAGUAUACCAAACCUUACAUGGUAUAAAACUAUAAACACUAAAGGGCCUAAGUGCUCUGAAAUAAAAGUAUCUUCAGACUACAAGUAUUUUCAAAAAUAUACAAGUAUACCGAACCGUCGAGAUUCGUAUCUAUAAGUAGAACAAAACAUAAGUAAAUGGGUGUUGUGUAUUGCAGUUAAACCUGGGCAGUUAUGUAGUCGUGUCUAGGGUCAAUAUAGCCUGGCCAACUAUAUUCAUUCGAGACACGGCCAACAUAUGCCUGGGAGUGAUUGUGAUAUGCGGCAUGCCUAAAACUUACCCUAAUACCACAAACAUCGAGCUAGUAUAGUAGCGAAUAAUGAAAUACUAUGGGAGUAUUUCUUAAAUCAUUGUGCAUGUUUAGACCCCGAACAUUUUGUUAUCGAUAGUUUUCUUGCUUCAAUAACUCUUUCCUGCUUUACCGCUUAAUUGGAGUUAAUACCUGUCAUAUCUCUCGAUUCAGAGGACUUAUCAUCCUCUCUCUUUAUUGAUCUUAUUAGAUCAAGAUGCCUCCCAGAAGAAGAUCCAACUCCAACAACCCUCCACCACCUCCUCCUGAAAUCGAUCCCGUGUUAUUUCAAACAGCUGUUACCGCCGCGGUGGCAGCUGCCAUGUCCCAGCUAAAUACCGGUGGUUCAGGAGGUAGUAAUCAAAAUCAAGAUGGUAAUCAGGAACGCCGUAAGGAGGGUUCCUAUAAGGACUUCAUGAAUGCGAAGCCUUCUUUCUUCAAUAGCACUGGUGGUGUCAUUUCCCUAUCCCGAUGGUUCGAGAGAAUCGAAUCCAUCUUCGAAAUUUGUGCCUGUGAUGAGUCCGAUAAGGUCAAGUUCGCAGCUUGUACCUUCCUUGAUAAAGCAUUGACUUGGUGGAAUGGCCGAGUCAAAUCCUUAACUCUCCCCGUAGCCAAUGCCAUGGGCUGGGGAGACUAUGAAAGAACUCCUCCUUGUCGAAUAUUGUCCUAGAGGCGAAAUGCAGAAGCUAGAGCACGAGCUCUGGAACCUAAAGAUGAAAGGUUCCGACAUUGCUGCCUACACUUCCCGAUUUGAUGAUCUUUCCCUUCUCUACCCUGGACUAGUCACUCCUGAAAGCAAAAAGAUCGAGAGGUUUUUUUGGGGGUUAACCAAUCCGACCAAAGGUCAUGUUUUAGCUGCUCGCCCAGAUACUUAUGACAGUGCUAAAACUCUAGCCCAAGCUAUAAUUCAUCACAGUGAUGAUAUUGAGGAAGCCACCACUGCUACCCCUGAGUCGACCAAAAGCAGUGGCGAGAAAAGAAAAUUCUGGAAGAAAAAGAAGGGUCAAUCUUCCCAAGGCUCCUCCAAAAGACAACAAACAGUAGCAGUUCAUGCUGCUACUACCCCCGUAGCUGCUGCUUCUGUUGUAGGAUCCACAGCACCAACUCCUACCAACCGAUAUGUUGGUAACCCCCCUCUUUGUGAAAAAUGCAAGUAUCACCACAACCCUGGUCCCUGUCGAAAACUAUCUUGUACCAAUUGUGGUAAGAAGGGGCACACUGUUCGAUACUGCAAAGCUCCGACUCAAUCAGCGAAUCAAUCUUCUGGAACAGGCGUUGGUCAAGCCUGUUAUAACUGUGGUGAAGUCGGGCACUUUAAAAGGAACUGCCCAAAGAAGACUGUUGCUGGCAACACAGGAAGGGUCCUUGCUAUGGGACGAGAAGAAGCAGUUGCCGAUCCCAAUGUUGUCUCGGGUACGUUUCUUCUCGACAACUCGUAUGCUAAUAUUCUUUUCGAUUCGGGCGCUGAAAGAAGUUUUAUUAGUCAUGCAUUUAAACAUAACCUAAAACAUGAUUCUCGACCUCUAACCGAAAUGUUUACCGUCGAAAUGGCAAACGGAGAGAANNNNNNNNNNNNNNNNNNNNNNNNNNNNNNNNNNNNNNNNNNNNNNNNNNNNNNNNNNNNNNNNNNNNNNNNNNNNNNNNNNNNNNNNNNNNNNNNNNNNAUGUGCCGGAUAACUAAACCAUACAUUACUCUUAUGAAACAACAAUGAACUUUUAAGAAAAUAUGGGAUUUCUUGGUGUGUGUUAUAUUUUCAGAAACAGAAAGGAAACAUAAACAUUUUCACAAAACAAAACUGCUUAUGAACUCACCAGCGUUAUGCUGAUUUUCAAAUUGCUUGUGUUCUCAGGUCAACGAUAGUACAGGUACCCGAAGACUUACUUGGUUAAGGAUCGUGUGCGUGCAAGGCUCGUUCAUUUUGUUUAUAUCUAUAUUAUGUAUCACAACUGUAUAAACUGUGUCUUUUGAAACAAAUUGUAAAACUUUUAAUAUGUAAUGUAAUGUUUGUUUCACUUUACUUACUAUGUACAUUGGAUUUGAUACUCAACGUGGAGUCAACCCCGGAAAUGUUUCCGCCUUCGGUUUACGGGGUGUGAUAGAUUGGUAUCAGAGCCCUUGUUUAUAGUGAAUAAAGUAUACCAAACCUUACAUGGUAUAAAACUAUAAACACUAAAAGGGCCUAAGUGCUCUGAAAUAAAAGUAUCUUCAGACUACAAGUAUUUUCAAAAAUAUACAAGUAUACCGAACCGUCGAGAUUCGUAUCUAUAAGUAGAACAAAACAUAAGUAAAUGGGUGUUGUGUAUUGCAGUUAAACCUGGGCAGUUAUGUAGUCGUGUCUAGGGUCAAUAUAGCCUGGCCAACUAUAUUCAUUCGAGAC
rnacentral:lncRNA from 1 species